UGACAGGGUUUCUGCUGUGAAUAGCAGAUGGAUGAGGCACUUGCGCGUUAUCCGUGCAGAAUCGAUAUCAAGAGAUUUCGGAAGCACAAUUUUUGUUUUUUGGAGCUGCUGGUGAUCGUUUGUCUAAGCACUCCG